rnacentral:lncRNA from 1 species
CAUCAAUGCCAAUGCAUCCUUUCUCAGUGUCUUCAUCAGCAUCAAGGUCUCUUCUUUAGCGAUAGGGUCAGAAAGAGGUUGGCCAUCUCUUGAAGGGGGUCCCGGAGCCACAUCGAUUAGGAUAAUGACCUCCAUUUCGAUAUGAGAAACAUAUGAUCUUUCCAAUCUCAAAGCCUGGUUUGAUGAGGCCACCAUCGCUAUGGAAGACUUCGACUGAGGUUGAGGUGGAGAACCCAAUUUUUGCCUCUUUGAGUGCUCAACCUCUAGGUGCGAGCCUGAUCUCUUUUUGCCCUUUCUCCGUUGCGCACUUUCAAUGUCAUCGAUUAUCAGCUUCAUUUCUGCAAUGACAAAAA